rnacentral:lncRNA from 1 species
UGUCCGAAUAUCACCGUAGCAUUAGCACGGACAUACUACUAGUUUUUUAAAAAAUAAUUCCUGCGUGCGCUUGUUCUGCUGGCAGGUUGGGGGUGGCGCAUGUUGGGAAGUUUAAUUUAAUAGAAUAGGUUAAAUACUAGAGUAAAAAAUAAAAAAUAAAAUAAGCACAUAUGACCCAGUUGAAGACAAUACUAAUAUUUUAAAAAUUAGAAGAUAUGAAAAACCAUUCAUGUGAUAUAAAAUAGUUUUUGACACCAUUAUCCUUUAUACAUUUAUGACCACCGCAAUUAGUGGUUUUGACAUAAACAAAAAUGUGACCAUAUGGAAUUUGACUACCUUUAAGACUUUUUUUGUGAUGUUUAUUUAGUUAUAUCACUA